CUGGAGACAAGGGAAGAGCAAGAGUGAAAAUAGGGAAAAGAUUAAAACGCGUACAAAGACAGAUCGUGCGUAAACCCUUUAUCGGGUCUGGCGGAGGGACUGGUCUCUCCUGCCUGGGACCGGUCCCAGAGCCCAGAAUUUUUAAAAAUUCAAAAUAAGCACCAAAAAUUCCAAAAAAAAUAUAUGUUAUUCCACAAUUUUCAACCAACAAAAAUAACCAAUUUCCAUUCCCAACAACUUCAAAUAAAUAUUCAUAAAUAAAUUUUGAAAAAUCAAUUUCAAGGAUACUCAAUUUGGCAAAAUUGUUGCCCGAAAAUCAAUGACAAUUCUAGAUACAUAUAAAAUAAAAUUUGACACAUCAUGCAAGAUCUAGGAAUUAAUUGUAUCGUUCUAUCAUCAUAUUUGUUAAAGAAAAU
rnacentral:lncRNA from 1 species